rnacentral:rRNA from 1 species
UACGUAGGGACCAAGCGUUGUUCGGAUUUACUGGGCGUAAAGGGCGCGUAGGCGACAUGUUAAGUCAGCUGUGAAAUCUCCGAGCUUAACUCGGAACUGUCAGCUGAUACUGAUGUGCUAGAGUGCAGAAGGGGCAAUCGGAAUUCUUGGUGUAGCGGUGAAAUGCGUAGAUAUCAAGAGGAACACCUGAGGUGAAGACGGGUUGCUGGGCUGACACUGACGCUGACAGCGCGAAAGCCAGGGGAGCGAACAGG